CCCGGCCUCCACUACGAGCUCCACGACCGAAGGGGGCGUAACACCGGCACCCUUCCUCGCCCCUCCUCCCAGUCCUAGGCUAGCUCCCUCACACACACUCUCCUUCCAUGGCGGAUCGGCACGGCGAGGGCGGCGUGGCCUCGGCGCGGCGGCCGGGGCACACAGAGUUGGACGACCCAUCGACAACACGCUGCUGCAGCGCGUGCAGGCGCACCUCCCGACCUCGACGCAGGUGGUGGGCCUCCUGACCCUGCUCAUCGCCGGCGCGGCGCUGCUGCCUGCUGGUGCUGGCGGGGCUGACCCUCAGGGGCGCAGUGGUGGCGGUCGUCUUCCUCGGCCCGCUGGCGUUGCUGACCAGCCCCAUCUGGGUGCCGUUAGCGUUCGCGCUCCUCGUGGUGGCCGCCGCGGCGCUCUACGUCGCCACCCUCGCCGCGGCUACCUGGGCGUACCGGCACCUCACGGGGCGGCAUGCCGACCGGGUGGACCGUGCCGCGCGUUGAUCCACCCCUCAUCUCACCUGUCGGGGCAUGAAUCGGGAGCUGGAGGGGGAAUUGGAAGGUGAGGGGCGCAGCACGGGGCGCCCGGCCGCAGCAGGGAGGCCGAUCAUGGACACGGGCGGCGAGGACAUCCUCGUCCUCCUGCAAUCCGCGUUCGUCGUCCCCUUCGAGGCCGCCAUCGACCGCCUCACUCCCCGGCUCUCGCCUCCCAGGCCUCGGCUGACGGCCUCCGCCCCCAUCUCUUCGUCCCGCUCCGUGACGGGUACGACGCUCCUGACCCGCCCCUUUGCCGAACGCCACCACGAGCAGUGCGCGUCUCAAUUCCCCAGCCCUCCUCGUCAUGAGCAGCAGCGGAGGGAGGAGCACGGCCCCAUGCUGCGGUGCUGGAGUCCGUUGGCAGGAGAUGUCCAGGGGGACGCCGGCGCUGGAUUGGUUUCAUAGUGUGUCUCUGACAUGGUACAUGAGGAGUCCAUCUUGUGUCUAAUACAAUACUCCCUCUGUAAACUAAUAUAAGAGCACUUAGAUUACUAAAAUAGUGAUCUAAACGCUCUUAUAUUAGUUUACGAAGGGAGUAUAUUUGUUGGACCUUCCUCAGGUAGGCGAGAUCAGCUGGAAGACUUGUGUUGGAAAGAUCAUCGGUGCAUUCUACAACUGAUGGAGGAUCUGCUCGUUUAGCAGGAGAUGAGUCGCGUGAUACUGCAGGUGGCGUGGGAGGAGAACAAGCAUCAGAGCUGUUUCUGAGAGAUGUCAUGGAAUUAAGCUUGAAGUGGGGUUCGUUAGGACAGAGGUGGAAGGUGAAAUGGGAGAUAAAUUUCCGAAGAAGGCAGGAUUAAAGCAUGAAGAGCUAAAUGCUCGAGACGCUGCUCACCUUCUAUGAUAAUAUGCUAUCAUGUACUGACAGGGAGUUUAGCAAGUAAGUGCUCAACACUUAAAAAUUCGGUGGGUAGACUUCAUCAUGGGACCUGGUAUGUGGGCCCGUUGGUGGAAGCUCCAGAUAACGGUAAAGGCGCCUCCUCACAUGUUUA